UACGUUGGUGGCAAGCGUUAUCCGGAUUUAUUGGGUGUAAAGGGUGUGUAGGCGGGACGGCAAGUCAGAUGUGAAAACUAUGGGCUCAACCCAUAGCCUGCAUUUGAAACUGCUGUUCUUGAGAGUCGGAGAGGUAAAUGGAAUUCCCGGUGUAGCGGUGAAAUGCGUAGAUAUCAGGAGGAACACCGGUGGCGAAGGCGGGUUACUGGACGACACCUGACGCUGAGACACGAGAGCGUGGGGAGCAAAC
rnacentral:rRNA from 1 species